UGUACAGGUGUGUUUGACCGUUUAAAAAAAACAAAAAACAUAUUCAACUCCAUGUAUCAAAGUGGAGGGAGAUUUAUUAAACAGCUUUGUUGGAAACAAUAACUGUCAACAUGUCCACAGCUGAGGACGUUGACGUUUGCGUGAAUAACUGCAUUUUUUUCCUGUGAUGUGUUUACCCAUCGAAGAUCAAUGCAUUACUCUCUCGAGCUGCUUUUUUUUUUUUCUUCCUCUGAAGCACAAAACAUGCCUAAUAUUUGAUGAGAAGCGGUGACAGGAAGACAAUACGUCUGGGAUGCAGCGCUGCCAGUGUCUGUCUGCUGAAAUCCAUUUUGCAGAAGCUUCUGUUGUCGUCCCCGUGACGCGCCGAAUGGAAGAGAGGGAGGGGGAAUUAACUUAUCAUUAGUAGAGAAUUUUGCAUCACAAGGAGAAGAUUAAACAUAAAGUUUAGUUCAGAAGUUGCUGCGGGUUUCUGUGAGGAAAUAUUCAAGAACGCCUGUUGAUCCACGGUGAAACUAUGGUCCUGUCAGAAACUCCUUCUAUAAUUGACGGUGGGGCAUUGAUGAGCACAAGAUUGUUCCCACAAGAUGCUACAUGAUGACGGUGAAUUAAUCAUGGCGUGGGCACCAACCUGCGUUUCCUCAUGUAGUAUUUAUUCAGCAGGAAGAAAACGUCCAUAUUCUUAAUCCGUCCUACAAAGCUCUGAUUGACCUGGUUGUUGUUGCGACUGACGGAACGGCCUUCCAUAAGAAUGCCAUUGGGAAAUCUGGGAGAUUCAGAGGACAUGACCAAGGCUACGUACAGUAGUUAUUUGACUUCUGAGCAUCGGGUCCAUGUCGGGAUGGCGUCAGCUGAUCUGCACCUCAGCUCAACUUGACCUGCUUCACCUCUGAAAGGAGGAAGACAAAAGUAGAAAAAAAGAAGUGUAAUUUGAAAUAUUAGGCUACUUCCUUUCUGAGGAACUUUGCUGGGUUCCUGCUUAUGGUUCCUGCUCUAUAGCUGACCGUGACCUUUGACCCUUCCUGUGCAUGUAUUGAGCUAUAUUCUUUUUCUUCUCCAGCACAACUAACAAAAGUGUCUUUUCACACUGAUGAAAUAUUUGUAUCACAGAUUUUUGAUUUGUGGUUGUUUGUCAGUUGAACUUAAUUCAGACAGUGAGUUCAUUCACAUGAACUGACACAUUGAUUUGCGAUGUUUAGUUGAAUAUAAUAACUGAUAAAUAUUAUUUUGACAUCA